rnacentral:rRNA from 1 species
AUGUAGGUAUAAGUAACGAUAAAGGGGGUAAGAUUCCCCCUCGCCGUAAGACUAAGGUUUCCCAGGCGAUGUCAAUCAGCCUGGGGUUAGUCGGGUCCUAAGUCUCAGCCGAAUGGCGAAGGCGAUGGCAGAUGCGGUUAAUAUUCCGCAACUCGCAUUAUCAGUGACGUGGAGACGGAGCAGUGACACUGCCGCGCCCUGACGGAAUAGGGCGUUUAAGUGCGUAGGUUAUGAUAGUGGCAGGCAAAUCCACCACUUGAGCUGAAACACGAAAGUACAGCACUUCCUUCGGGAAGCGUUGAGCGCAGGUAAUCAUACUUCCGAGAAAAUCCGCUAAACUUAAUGUAUAUGCGACCCGUACCGCAAACGGACACA